rnacentral:lncRNA from 1 species
UGGUAGGUUAAAAAUUUAGCUAUUAUGUAAGCCACGUGUUGCAUAUGUUGGACACAUGGUGCACAUAUAAGAAGCUUAUCUUGCAAAUUAGGCAUUAGACUUAUAAGUUAGACAUAUAUUGGUAGUUAUAUAAAAUGUUGCCACAUGUUAGAUAGUAUCUAUAGAAAUAAGAAUGAAAACUCCAUCACUCACCAUAUCUUUUUAUUAUUUUUGGUUUGAUUUCAAGAAUUUAUAGUAUUUUAGUCUUUGGCAAUAACUAUUUCAGUUUCUUCUUGAAUAUAUAUGUUUAUUUUAUUUUAUUUUUUGUUAUAU